UGGGAGGCAGCGGGCGCCGCUGGAGGAGGCUGCGCGCUGGGUGUAUAUAUAGCUCCUACCCGUGCCAGCAUCUCCCCUUCGCUGUGGCUGGCCGGGUGCGAUUUGAGGCUGUAGCAGGAGCCCUCGUCUGGGAGCCGGCGCGCUAGUCUCCCCCCGCCCGGACUCCCGGCUUCCCUUUGGCCUGGAGGAGAAGGCGGCUGCACCGCGGACCUAGGUUUCCAGCGUUGGAUUGUCUUCUAGGGCAAAUUGUCACCAAUGGCAGUAAAACUUGUUUUCCAGUAUUCUGGAAUUUCCCCAGGAGUAGAAAAGGGAGCAAAACAGCUCACUGGAGGGGAGACCAAGAAAGGGAACAGAUCUCCAACCCUCAACUCCUAAAGAAAGGCAGGAGCUUUCUUGACAACCACUGCCUGAGGGAAGGGAGGGCCUGAUCCUGAAUCACCCUGAAUGGGAAUCAUUCCUUGCUGUCUUACUAACUUGGUGUAUUGUGUUACCUCCCCUUGCUUUUUGUUUACAAACUACCCUGGAGGGGUGACUUUUUUUAAAUGACCUGGCCAAUAGCGCUGGAACACUUUUUUUUAUUUUAUUUUUUAUUAGUGGGGGUGCUGAAAGCCAGUCACCUUACCCC